rnacentral:sRNA from 1 species
GUUUGUUGAAUAAAGAUCUUAUAUAGGCCAAUAUUUAAUAAGAAUAUUGUCUCUAGUGUAUCCACAAGAGAUACUAAUAUUUAAGUCAAGGACAACAUGGCAAGACACUUCAAAGUUUUAGUUUUACUGGCAAAAAUCCUGGCAAGUGUAUUGUUGUUAGUCGUCUCUGAGAAUCAACCUUGCCCUGAUCGCAGGUUUGUUGGACCACGAUGUAACAUCCUAUGCAAUUGCAAUGACACCGCCGAGUGCUCCAACGCUGAAAACUGUACAUGUAAGAAUCGUUACUUCGGUUACUAUUGUCAAUAUGGUAAGCGUUGACUUC